rnacentral:rRNA from 1 species
CAGUAGCCACGGGAAUACGAAGGGGCUAGCGUUGUUCGGAUUUACUGGGCGUAAAGAGCGCGUAGGCGGACUGAUAAGUCAGGGGUGAAAUCCCAAGGCUCAACCUUGGAACUGCCUUUGAUACUGUUUGUCUUGAGUUCGAGAGAGGUAAGUGGAACUGCGAGUGUAGAGGUGAAAUUCGUAGAUAUUCGCAAGAACACCAGUGGCGAAGGCGGCUUACUGGCUCGAUACUGACGCUGAGGCGCGAAAGCGUGGGGAGCAAACAGGAUUAGAUACCCCAGUAGUCCAUGUCUCUUAUACA